GCGAACGCUGGCGGCAGGCUUAACACAUGCCAGUCGCGCGGGCCCUUCGGGGUCAGCGGCAGACGGGUGAGUAACACGUGGGAACGUACCCUUUGGUUCGGAAUAACGCUGGGAAACUAGCGCUAAUACCGGAUACGCCCUUUUGGGGAAAGGCUUGCUGCCGAAGGAUCGGCCCGCGUCUGAUUAGCUAGUUGGUGGGGUAAUGGCCUACCAAGGCGACGAUCAGUAGCUGGUCUGAGAGGAUGAUCAGCCACACUGGGACUGAGACACGGCCCAGACUCCUACGGGAGGCAGCAGUGGGGAAUAUUGGACAAUGGGCGCAAGCCUGAUCCAGCCAUGCCGCGUGAGUGAUGAAGGCCUUAGGGUUGUAAAGCUCUUUUGGCCGGGACGAUAAUGACGGUACCGGAAGAAUAAGCCCCGGCUAACUUCGU
rnacentral:rRNA from 1 species